ACACUAUUGAACUCCGAAGCCGUCUUGCCUAAGUCCUUGUCUGGAUAGGGGAGGCCGGCCGAACACCCGGGUUGCCGGCGUGUUAAGGGUCAGGAAAGAAAUGCCCUGGUCUCCCGUAUUUGGAAAGGUGUUUAUGUCGCUGCUUG
rfam:Aeromonas diversa 2478-85 Contig 83, whole genome shotgun sequence.